AUGGAACAGCUACGGAAAGGAGAUCAUGGACAGAUGGAGGGCUCCAUCGCAAACACAUUGUUCGACGAAUGGACAGUGCAGCAACAAUACAACACGACCUAUAAAGCCAUACUUCCCGCAGAAUUUAUCGUGCUCGAUGUUAAAAUUGGAGAAAAAGGAGGACUAGCAAAAUUCAAUGAGGAAGAAGCAUUGAAACAGUUUGCACCCCUUGUAACAGGGAAGGAACUUUUAAAGAAAAAGCUGAUUAUGAUACCUCACAACACAGCUAAACACUACACAUUGUACGUGCUCAACAAGUACACAAGCUCCAUCGACAUACUUGACUCACUGAAUUACAGACACGGAAACGGAAAAAAUUAA
rnacentral:rRNA from 1 species